AUUGAACGCUGGCGGCAGGCCUAACACAUGCAAGUCGAACGAGUGGCGGACGGGUGAGUAAUGUCUGGGAAACCGCCCGAUGGAGGGGGAUAACUAAUGGAAAAGGUAGCUAAUACCGCAUACAAUCGGAUGUGCCCCGAGGGGAUUAGCUAGUGGGGUGGGGAACGUCUCACCUAGGCGACGAUCCCUAGCUGGUCUGGGAGGAUGACCAGCCACACGUGAACUGAGCAACGGCCCGGACUCCUACGGUAGGCAGCAGUGGGGAAUCUUGCACGAUGGACGCAAGCCUGAUCCAGCCAUGCCGCGUGUAUGAAGAAGGCCUUAGGGUGGUAAAGUACUUUCAGCGGGGAGGCGUUACCCGCAGAGAAGGCACCGGCUAACUCCGUGCCAGCCGCCGCGGUAAUAC
rnacentral:rRNA from 1 species